UCUUCAGUCUUCUUCAUGGGGUAGCGGUACAGUACCCAGUCUUCUUCGUGGGGUAGCGGUACAGUACCCAGUCUUCUUCAUGGGGGUAGCGGUACAGUACCCAGUCUUCUUC